rnacentral:rRNA from 1 species
CAUAGGUUAAUGAGGCGAACCGGGGGAACUGAAACAUCUAAGUACCCCGAGGAAAAGAAAUCAACCGAGAUUCCCCCAGUAGCGGCGAGCGAACGGGGAGGAGCCCAGAGCCUGAAUCAGCAUGUGUGUUAGUGGAAGCGUCUGGAAAGGCGCGCGAUACAGGGUGACAGCCCCGUACACAAAAGCGCAUGUGCUGUGAGCUCGAUGAGUAGGGCGGGACACGUGGUAUCCUGUCUGAAUAUGGGGGGACCAUCCUCCAAGGCUAAAUACUCCUGACUGACCGAUAGUGAACCAGUACCGUGAGGGAAAGGCGAAAAGAACCCCGGCGAGGGGAGUGAAAAAGAACCUGAAACCGUGUACGUACAAGCAGUGGGAGCCCCACCACUAAGCCAGUGGUGAACUCCACAUACGCAUCCUUUGCUGAGGAUACGGUUAACGGAGCGAAAGCGACGUUCAACCGCAAAAGAAGCAGAGGGGGCUUAGUGGUGGGGUGACUGCGUACCUUUUGUAUAAUGGGUCAGCGACUUAUAUUCUGUAGCAAGGUUAACCGAAUAGGGGAGCCGGAGGGAAACCGAGUCUUAAUUGGGCGUUAAGUUGCAGGGUAUAGACCCGAAACCCGGUGAUCUAGCCAUGGGCAGGUUGAAGGUUGGGUAACACUAACUGGAGGACCGAACCGACUAAUGUUGAAAAAUUAGCGGAUGACCUGUGGCUGGGGGUGAAAGGCCAAUCAAACCGGGAGAUAGCUGGUUCUCCCCGAAAGCUAUUUAGGUAGCGCCUCGUGAAUUCAUCUCCGGGGGUAGAGCACUGUUUCGGCUAGGGGGCCAUCCCGGCUUACCAACCCGAUGCAAACUGCGAAUACCGGAGAAUGUUAUCACGGGAGACACACGGCGGGUGCUAACGUCCGUCGUGAAGAGGGAAACAACCCAGACCGCCAGCUAAGGUCCCAAAGUCAUGGUUAAGUGGGAAACGAUGUGGGAAGGCCCAGACAGCCAGGAUGUUGGCUUAGAAGCAGCCAUCAUUUAAAGAAAGCGUAAUAGCUCACUGGUCGAGUCGGCCUGCGCGGAAGAUGUAACGGGGCUAAACCAUGCACCGAAGCUGCGGCAGCGACACUCAGGUGU